AUUGAACGCUGGCGGCAGGCCUAACACAUGCAAGUCGGACGGUAGCACAGAGAGCUUGCUCUCGGGUGACGAGUGGCGGACGGGUGAGUAAUGUCUGGGAAACUGCCCGAUGGAGGGGGAUAACUACUGGAAACGGUAGCUAAUACCGCAUAACGUCUUCGGACCAAAGUGGGGGACCUCGGGCCUCACACCAUCGGAUGUGCCCAGAUGGGAUUAGCUAGUAGGUGGGGUAAUGGCUCACCUAGGCGACGAUCCCUAGCUGGUCUGAGAGGAUGACCAGCCACACUGGAACUGAGACACGGUCCAGACUCCUACGGGAGGCAGCAGUGGGGAAUAUUGCACAAUGGGCGCAAGCCUGAUGCAGCCAUGCCGCGUGUAUGAAGAGGGCCUUCGGGUUGUAAAGUACUUUCAGCGGGGAGGAAGGCGAUGAGGUUAAUAACCGCAUCGAUUGACGUUACCCGCAGAAGAAGCACCGGCUAACUCCGUGCCAGCCGCCGCCGUAA
rnacentral:rRNA from 1 species